AUUGAUAAAUGUAUUGAUACAUGUAUUGAUACAUGUAUUGAUAAAUGUAUUGAUAUAUGUAUUGAUAAAUGUAUUGAUAAAUGUAUUGAUACUUUCCGUCAGUAUUAGUUAAGGAAGGUUAAUAGCCUCUCCGUUUCAUGAUAAGUUAUAUUGAUAUCCGUGUUCACUGCGUGUUCUGUUUUCUCAGUGCUACAUGUUAACUGAUAAAUACCAUGUUGACGUAGAGGUGUGGCUAUUAGUCUACCUUGGAUGCAUCCCAAAUGGCACCAUGUUCCCUAUAUAGUGCACUAGUGUCCCUGGUCAAAAGUUUGUAUGUAUUUAUUUAUUUAUUUAUUUAACGAGUCAGUUAAGAACAAAUUCUUAUUUACAAUGACGGCCCAAACCCGGACGACGCCGGGCCAAUUGUGCACCGCCCUAUGGGACUCCCAAUCACAGCCGGUUGUGAUACAGCCUGGAAUCGAACCAGGUGUCUGUAGUGACGCCUCUAGCACUGUGACAGUGCCUUAGACCGUUGUGAUAAGGCCUGGAAUCGAACCAGGUGUCUGUAGUGACGCCUCUAGCACUGUGACACAGUGCCUUAGACCGUUGUGAUAAGGCCUGGAAUCGAACCAGGUGUCUGUAGUGACGCCUCUAGCACUGUGACACAGUGCCUUAGACCGUUGCGCCACUCAGGAGGGACUAGGGAAAGGGACUAGGGUCCCACUAAGGUGCAUAGUCACUUUAACUCUACCUACAUGUACAUAUUACCUCAAUUACCUCGACUAACCUGUGCCCUCACACAUUGACUCUGCACCGGUACCCCCUGUAUAUAGCCUCCACAUUGACUCUGUACCCCCUGUAUUUAGCCUCCACAUUGACUCUGUACCGUAACACCCUGUAUAUAGCCUCCACAUUGACUCUGCACCGGUACCCCCUGCAUAUAGCCUCCACAUUGACUCUGCACCGGUACCCCCUGCAUAUAGCCUCCACAUUGACUAUGUACCGUAACAUCCUGUAUAUAGCCUCCACAUUGACUCUGCACCGGUACCCCCUGCAUAUAGCCUCCACAUUGACUCUGCACCGGUACCCCCUGUAUAUAGCCUCCACAUUGACUCUGCACCGGUACCCCCUGUAUAUAGCCUCCACAUUGACUCUGUACCGUAACACCCUGUAUAUAGCCUCCACAUUGACUCUGUACCGUAACACCCUGUAUAUAGCCUCCACAUUGACUCUGUACCGUAACACCCUGUAUACAGCCUCGCUACUGUUAUUUUAUAAUUGCUCUUUAAUUAUUUGUUAUUUUUCUAUUUUCUUCCAUUUUUUAUUUAUUAAUUUUUUACUUCACUUUAUUUUAGUAAAUACAUUCUUCACACUUAUUUUUCUUAAAACAGUAUUAUUGGUUAAGGGCUUGUAAGUCAGCAUUUCACUGUAAGGUCUACUACACCUGUUAUAUUCAAAGUAUGUGACAAAUAAAAUUUGAUUUGGGAUGCA